rnacentral:lncRNA from 1 species
UGUGAUGGGAGAGAGAGAUAAUGGUGAUAUGUGGUGCAAGAAGGAGCAGGCAAUUACGAUCCGGACAAGAGAGAGAGAGGUGAGGGCGAUGAGGAAAAUAGAGAGAGAAGUAAAGGCGAUGAGUAAGAAGAGAGAGGAGAGAGAGGGCAAUGGGGAAGAGAGAAGGAGAGAUAUAGGCAACGAGGAAGGAGAAAUAGGAGAGAGAAGGCAAUGAGGAGGAAGAGGUAGAGAGAGAUAAGGGUGAUUUGGCCUUUGAUGUGCCUUGUGGCGUGUCUAUCGUUCUUCGUUGAUGUUUUUGUAUGCUUUCGGAAUUGUUUUGCUUGUUUUACGAUUCUUUUUCACAGAAACUUCCUAAAGUUUGUUACAGAAGAAUAUUUCCUGAAACUUGUUUUGCUUGUUUUACGGAAGUUUUUCCUUGAAAUUUCUUGAAGUUAGUGUUGCGGAAGAUUGUUUCAUAAAACUUGUUUUGCUUGUUUUACCAAAGUUUUUCCCUAGAAACAUCCAGAAGUUUGUUUUACAAAAAUUUGUUUCGUAAAACUGUGAUGUUUCUUGUAAAAAACCUUCCAAAAAACGUUUUUCUUUAUAAUUCUUGUUUGAGCAGAAAUCUCUUUAUUUUCUUCCCGGGAAAAAAUGCACGGAGUUUGUUUUACAUAUCUUUGUUCAAGUUUGCAAGGCGUAUGUGGAAUUGUUGUCUCAAGAUUUAUUCAAGUUUGUAAAUGAUACGAUUCUCGAGUUAUUUUAGCUGUUGAUUUUGAUAGGACCGAUUAUGACCCAACAGUAUAUAUACGAGUAGAUGGGAAUAUUUAGCUUUGAUGUGAGACGUAUCAUGUGUCCUUAACAGUCAUUUCCUACUUGUUAAAGGAUUUGUAUAUGAACUUUUUGUAGCCUUCGUGGAAACGUUAUUAAGUUGUACAGUGAACCCUAUAGUAUAUUAUAUCUUCCUUUCUAGAAUUUAUAACAAUCUGAUAGU